UACGUAGGGGGCUAGCGUUGUCCGGAAUCAUUGGGCGUAAAGAGCGUGUAGGCGGCUUGGUAAGUCCGCUGUGAAAGUCCAGGGCUCAACCCUGGAAUGCCAGUGGAUACUGUCAAGCUAGAGUCCGGAAGAGGCGAGUGGAAUUCCUGGUGUAGCGGUGAAAUGCGCAGAUAUCAGGAGGAACACCAAUUGCGAAGGCAGCUCGCUGGGACGUUACUGACGCUGAGACGCGAAAGCGUGGGGAGCAAACAGG
rnacentral:rRNA from 1 species